rnacentral:lncRNA from 1 species
GUGUGACGCCCCCAAAAUAGGUAUACAACACCCAUUCUGAGUCGCCAAAAUACAUGGUAUAGAAAACAAACUACAACUUUGACAAUACAGAUGUCGUGUAGAAUACGACAAUACAACUGUGAGUUUGAAUACAAAUAUUGUCUUCUAGACAAUAUACACACCCAAAUAAGUCCUCAUUAAUUAUUCAUACACUAUUUUACAGAAAUAGUGAGGACAGCUAAAACAUCUUCCUAGAACCAUCACUCCAUACCCCGACUCGA